UUUUCCUUCUUUCAUAAUUCUAUAUUUUAUUUUACUUCAUCUAUAAUAAUAAUAAUAAUAAAGCUCUGCUCUGUUUUAAGUAUUAUAACUCCCGAUCACCGCUACCCUUUCCGAUUGAUCUGAGUCCCAUAACGCAUGUUAAGGCUCUGCCCGACUAAGUUCGUUUGGAUUCUAUCUCGGGACUUCGGGACAAGGUUGAAUUAGGGGUACUAUACUUAACACGAGUGCAUUAUAUUUUUUAUAGCCCAAAAGGUAUCCCCAAAAUUUAUACCAGGAGUCCUUCUAGUUGAACCCUAAAGUUACACAGUGGGUCCAUUCCUUUUUCUCACCAUUUUAUUCUCUUUUUGUGAAUUAUCCCAAAACUAUUAUUAUUUAUUAUUUCUAUUUUGUAAACAACUUUCAUCAAAAGUCAUGCCUAUUAUUUUAUUUACCCGAUAGGAAACCAUAGUUGAGACACCCAAGUAAUCCUGCACAACUCCUAAAAUAUUUUCAUAACAAUCAGAAUCGGGAUCAGGGCCCCUAAAACUCAGAGGAGGCAAUCCCCAUUCGAUAUUAUCUUCAAAGUCUGUUGUCAAAAUUUAAUUUUAAUAUUUCAUCGACUCAGCAAGCCUACACCCACACGUGGCCACCCUAUAGUGAAAAUGUGUCCCUUACGGACCGUAAGGGAUUAGGCUUACGGUCCGUAAGCCUGUCAAAAUUGGUGUAUAAAUAGCAGGCAUCGAGACUUGAUUUCUUGCAUUUGUACGACGAUCAAAUUCAAUUGGUACGUCGAGAUAUAGCCGAAACAGUCUCCAAAUCACUAAUUAGUAGAGGGGGUGCUGCUACGAUACAGGGUAUUAACUCGAUCGCUAUUACGAUUCAUUUUCCGACCGAUCAAUAUAUCCAAUGGAUGUUUAAGUGCCACCCACAUUAGGGUUAUACUUUGUCGUUCGUCGUUAAAUCGAUGGAUGUUUAAGUAUCGCACUUUGUCGUUCGUUGUGAGAAUUUGAUCUCGUGAGUUAUCGUAAUUGUUGUAUUAAGUUACCUACCUAGUUCGUAUGCACUAGGUUACAAGGCUAAAUCAAUAGGCUAAGCUCUGCCUGUGUAAAUCUGCAAUAUAUCAAGGCUUAUCUGUAGACCAAACUUUGGCCGUAUGAAUCUGCAUGAUUAUAAAGUAAUUACAGUACAUUGGAAUAAGAAUUGGAUCCGGCACCGAAGGCAUCAAGAAGUGGCUUAUUUUAUUAAUUAAAUCAAAUUAAGAAAAUAUUGUUUUUAUUAAAAGCUACCUUUGAAACAAUGGAAUUUAUUCCAUCUAUUUAAAUAAAAUCCGGUGUUUCUAAACUCUGAUAUUUUUCCUAACUCACGGUCCUGAUGAAAUUUCCGCUGCAAUGUUUUUCAAAAUAAUCACCGGUACCACUGGACUGCUCACGGCACCGAUUCCGGCCAGAUGGGGUCGGGGGUCGUGACAAUUGAACCCUACCAGAGGAACAGAUAAUGAAAGCCAAAACCGGAUCAUAACAGUGGACUUAUAAUAAACAGCUGCUUACACUUGGUUUUCCCCUUGACAGUGGUAUUCUAACAGCUGAUGGAUCUUAAGUACUGCUCACUAUAACAACUGAUGAACCAAACACUGAUGAGAUUCUAAAGACUGCUGAAGACAAACAUUGUUGCUCUAUCUACUGCUGUUUCAUAAGUACAGCUGAAGACACAAGCACUGCCCAGUCAAAGACUGAUCACCUUUGAAGAAAGCACUAAAGCUCAACAUCAGUGCUCAGGCUACAACAGUGGAACAGUUGUUAUCUCUUGUUUUGUAUUGUACUUAUAAUCAGAUGUUACACAUCAGUAGUUUGUUUAAUACAGUGUUUAUAGAUUGUUAGUUUAUUAGAUGUCACUAUCAUGGUAACGUCAGCUGAGAUGCUUCAGUGGUUUGGUUUGCCUAUAAAUGGAGCAGUACCCUGUACUGUUACAUUUGAUUAACUGAGUGGUUUCUUCUCCUCCAGUCUAAUCCUUUCAUCUUGUGCAACCAACCUUGGGGUAUUAGGCUGAGGGGGAGCUUAGUUAUGUAAGCAUGCUUGUAAUCUUUUGAUUUUCAUUGUAAUCAUUCGACUCAAAGUAAAGCAAGUGUUUAUCAUAUUAUUCUCUUCUUUGAUUGUGU
rnacentral:lncRNA from 1 species